rnacentral:rRNA from 1 species
CCUACGGGAGGCUGCAGUGGGGAAUAUUGGACAAUGGGGGCAACCCUGAUCCAGCCAUGCCGCGUGUGUGAAGAAGGCCCUCGGGUUGUAAAGCACUUUCAGUGAGGAAGAACGCCUGGUGGUUAAUACCCAUCAGGAAAGACAUCACUCACAGAAGAAGCACCGGCUAACUCCGUGCCAGCAGCCGCGGUAAUACGGAGGGUGCGAGCGUUUAUCGGAAUUACUGGGCGUAAAGCGCGCGUAGGUGGCUUGAUAAGCCGGUUGUGAAAGCCCCGGGCUCAACCUGGGAACGGCAUCCGGAACUGUCAAGCUAGAGUGCAGGAGAGGAAGGUAGAAUUCCCGGUGUAGCGGUGAAAUGCGUAGAGAUCGGGAGGAAUACCAGUGGCGAAGGCGGCCUUCUGGACUGACACUGACACUGAGGUGCGAAAGCGUGGGUAGCAAACAGGAUUAGAUACCCCUGUAGUC